rnacentral:rRNA from 1 species
CUACGGGAGGCACCAGUAGGGAAUUUUCCGCAAUGGGCGCAAGCCUGACGGAGCAACGCCGCGUGCACGACGAAGGCCUUCGGGUCGUAAAGUGCUGUCAGAUGGGAAGAAGGCUUUUAUAUCGAAUAGGUAUAGAGGUUUGACGGUACCAUCAGAGGAAGCCACGGCUAAUUACGUGCCAGCAGCCGCGGUAAUACGUAAGUGGCAAGCGUUAUCCGGAAUCACUGGGUGUAAAGGGUGUGUAGGCAGUUUUUUAAGUCACGUGUUAAAUUCCACGGCUCAACCGUGGGUCAGCGCGUGAAACUGGAAGGCUUGAGUAGCAGAGAGGUAACUGGAAUUCCUGGUGUAGCGGUGAAAUGUGUAGAUAUCAGGAAGAACACCAAUGGCGAAGGCAGGUUACUGGCUGUUUACUGACGCUGAGACACGAAAGCAUGGGGAGCAAACAGGAUUAGAUACCCCAGUAGUC